GCAGCCGCCGCGGUAAUACGUAGGGGGCAAGCGUUGUCCGGAAUUAUUGGGCGUAAAGCGCGCGCAGGCGGUUUUUAAGUCUGGUGUCUAAGUGCGGGGCUCAACCCCGUGACGCACUGGAAACUGGGAGACUUGAGUGCAGAAGAGGAGAGCGGAAUUCCACGUGUAGCGGUGAAAUGCGUAGAGAUGUGGAGGAACACCAGUGGCGAAGGCGGCUCUCUGGACUGUAACUGACGCUGAGGCGCGAAAGCGUGGGGAGCAAACAGGAUUAGAUACCCCCGUAGUCCCUGUCUCUUAUACAC
rnacentral:rRNA from 1 species